AUGGGACGGCCCGCUGGGCUGUUCCCGCCCCUAUGCCCUUUUUUGGGUUUCCGGCCAGAGGCAUGCUGGGAGCGUCACAUGCAAAUUGAGCGUGCACCCAGCGUUCCGCCCUUUCUACGCUGGGCCGGUUAUCGACCCGGCCCAGUGCGCAGGCGCGGGAAAGUUGAACUAAUAAAGUUUGUACGAGUUCAGUGGAGGAGACCGCAAGUUGAGUGGAGGAGGCGGCGGUGGGGCCCCGGACCAGGUGCCUCCAUGGCAGGCUCUGAAGAGCUGGGGCUCCGGGAAGACACGCUGAGGGUCCUAGCUGCCUUCCUUAGGCGUGGUGAGGCUGCCGGGUCUCCUGUUCCAACUCCACCUAGAAGCCCUGCCCAAGAAGAGCCAACAGACUUCCUGAGCCGCCUUCGAAGAUGUCUUCCCUGCUCCCUGGGGCGAGGAGCAGCCCCCUCUGAGUCCCCUCGGCCUUGCUCUCUGCCCAUCCGCCCCUGCUAUGGUUUAGAGCCUGGUAAGAGAUUUCCAUGAUCAUCUAUGAAGCCGGCAGAACACGGGAUAAGGCCCAGCUACUCCAGACUUCUAUGCUUUGGUGGCCCAGCGGCUGGAACAGCUGGUCCAAGAGCAGCUGAAAUCUCCGCCCAGCCCAGAAUUACAGGGUCCCCCAUCGACAGAGAAGGAAGCCAUACUGCGGAGGCUGGUGGCCCUGCUGGAGGAGGAGGCAGAAGUCAUUAACCAGAAGGAGGGCAUCCUGGCUGUUUCACCCGUGGACUUGAACUUGCCAUUGGACUGAGCUCUUUCUCAGAAGCUGCUACAAGAUGACACCUCAUGUCCCUGCCCUCUUCGUGUGCUUUUCCAAGUCUUCCUAUUCCACUCAGGGCUGUGGGGUGGUGGUUGCCCUACCUGUUUUUGCCAAAAAUAAAUUGUUUAAAACUUUUCUUAUUAAAAACGUUACAAAGUA
rnacentral:misc_RNA from 1 species